UACAGAGGGGGCUAGCGUUGUUCGGAAUUACUGGGCGUAAAGGGCGCGUAGGCGGCCUGCUAAGUCGAACGUGAAAUCCCUGGGCUCAACCCAGGAACUGCGUCCGAUACUGGUUGGCUUGAAUCCGGGAGAGGAACGCGGGAAUUCCAGGUGUAGCGGUGAAAUGCGUAGAUAUCUGGAGGAACACCGGUGGCGAAGGCGGCGUUCUGGACUGCAACUGGACACUGUAAAACGAAAGCCAAGGGGAGCAAAC
rnacentral:rRNA from 1 species